CCUACGGGGUGCAGCAGUGGGGAAUAUUGGACAAUGGGCGAAAGCCUGAUCCAGCCAUGCCGCGUGUGUGAAGAAGGCCUUCGGGUUGUAAAGCACUUUCAGUGGGGAAGAAAGCCUUGGGGCUAAUACCCUCGAGGAAGGACAUCACCCACAGAAGAAGCACCGGCUACUCCGUGCCAGCAGCCGCGGUAAUACGGAGGGUGCGAGCGUUAAUCGGAAUUACUGGGCGUAAAGCGCGCGUAGGCGGUCUGAUAAGCCGGUUGUGAAAGCCCCGGGCUCAACCUGGGAACGGCAUCCGGAACUGUCAGGCUAGAGUGCAGGAGAGGAAGGUAGAAUUCCCGGUGUAGCGGUGAAAUGCGUAGAGAUCGGGAGGAAUACCAGUGGCGAAGGCGGCCUUCUGGACUGACACUGACGCUGAGGUGCGAAAGCGUGGGUAGCAAACAGGAUUAGAUACCCUUGUAGUC
rnacentral:rRNA from 1 species